CGUGUAGCAAUCGUUAUGUUUUGCUUUGAUUCCUUUCCUUCUGAUCUUAAAUUAUGUUGCUGCGCUUUCAGGAAAUUUCAGGCUUUCAUUUUGAAACCAAUGUUGAAGUCGUUUGAAUAGAGACCAAACUUUUUCAGACGGGCACACGAACCGAGCAACUUUCUUGUGAAAUUCUGUGUGCUAUGAGAAAGUCGCUAGGAUCCGAAAAAAGGGUCGUCUACAGCAACUAUUUCAACUUCUAGUUCGAAGCUUCUUCACAAUCCGAAACUACUCCGCAAAGGACAGCAUCUUCCAAUCGCCUUUCAAAAAAAAAACUCAACAUGAUCGCUGAACCUCUGUUAAUGUCUGGCGUCCGUUUUUGUCACGCACGACCAGGCCAGUUUAUACAUCGAGUUGGACAUUAAAACUAUCCCAAAUCCGGGACAAAUGGAUGCUCCCCUGGUUCGAGUUGAAGAUGAAAAGUAAUAGUUCUGCUGAGAGGGGGAUAUCGAGUAAGCCAGCAGCGGCUAGUCCACGGCCUGUUCGACGAGGAGUCUUCUGCUACCGCCCGAAAAACUCUGCGUCUUCAGCGAAGAUGUCCUGCCGUUUAAGGUUCCAGCUCAGAUGUGAGCAACCUUUUGAUAAUAAGGAUAAAUUUUAGUUUAUAAUUUUUUUUAUAAUUGAAGUUACACUUAUUGUGCAUUUAAAUAUUUUUUUUAAACGUCGCUGGUGAACUGAUAGCUGAA